GUUAAAAAGCUCGUAGUCGGACUUUGGCUGAGAACGGUCGGUCCGCCGUUAGGUGUGCACUGACUGGUCUCAGCUUCCUGGUGAGGAGGUGUGCUUCACCGCCACUUAGUCACCGUGGUUACUUUGAAAAAUUAGAGUGUUCAAAGCGGGCUUACGCUUGAAUAUAUUAGCAUGGAAUAACACCAUAGGACUCCUGUCCUAUUUCGUUGGUCUCGGGACGGGAGUAAUGAUUAAGAGGAACAGUUGGGGGCAUUCGUAUUUCAUUGUCAGAGGUGAAAUUCUUGGAUUUAUGAAAGACGAACUUCUGCGAAAGCAUUUGCCAAGGAUGUUUUCAUUGAUCAAGAACGAAAGUUGGGGGCUCGAAGAUGAUUAGAUACCAUCCUAGUCUCAACCAUAAACGAUGCCGACUAGGGAUUGGCGGAUGUUAAUUGAUGACUUCGCCAGCACCUUAUGAGAAAUCAAAGUUUUUGGGUUCCGGGGGGAGUAUGGUCGCAAGGCUGAAACUUAAAGGAAUUGACGGAAGGGCACCACCAGGCGUGGAGCCUGCGGCUUAAUUUGACUCAACACGGGGAAACUUACCAGGUCCAGACAUAGUAAGGAUUGACAGAUUGAGAGCUCUUUCUUGAUUCUAUGGGU
rnacentral:rRNA from 1 species